rnacentral:sRNA from 1 species
GGGAAGCGCCCCGGGCGGAGGACCUUUCGGAAGCCGCUUAGUUCGCAGGUGCCGCACACUUAAGUAUUUGACCCUUUCGUACAAAAUGGAUCUGUACAUCAAAAGGAUGGAUUAAACGAUGAUGAUUUUGAACCUUACUUGAGUCCACAGGCAAGGCCCAAUAAUGCAUAUACUGCCAUGUCAGAUUCCUACUUACCCAGUUACUACAGUCCCUCCAUUGGCUUCUCCUAUUCUUUGGGUGAAGCUGCUUGGUCUACGGGGGGUGACACAGCCAUGCCCUACUUAACUUCUUAUGGACAGCUGAGCAACGGAGAGCCCCACUUCCUACCAGAUGCAAUGUUUGGGCAACCAGGAGCCCUAGGUAGCACUCCAUUUCUUGGUCAGCAUGGUUUUAAUUUCUUUCCCAGUGGGAUUGACUUCUCAGCAUGGGGAAAUAACAGUUCUCAGGGACAGUCUACUCAGAGCUCUGGAUAUAGUAGCAAUUAUGCUUAUGCACCUAGCUCCUUAGGUGGAGCCAUGAUUGAUGGACAGUCAGCUUUUGCCAAUGAGACCCUCAAUAAGGCUCCUGGCAUGAAUACUAUAGACCAAGGGAUGGCAGCACUGAAGUUGGGUAGCACAGAAGUUGCAAGCAAUGUUCCAAAAGUUGUAGGUUCUGC